GGCCCCAUUGGCCCUGUAACGGGAUGGGAUCUGAAGACUCCUGAAGAUUCCAUCCAACUCCUAUUCCGACACGUCCACGUCGUGCAGGGUGGUAACAUGAG
rnacentral:ribozyme from 1 species